CGAGCCACCGCGCCUGGCCUUGGCUGAAAAACCAAGUGACAUUAAUUGAUACUGGACACAAUCUGUGAUAUCAGUGAUUAAGUUGGAGUUAUGCAAGUGGAUCAUUUGCCACCAACCAGAAAAUAAGGAUUCCUUUCAAGUGGAUGUGGGAUAUGAAUAUUUUUUGGCACAAGACAGUAGUUCAAUUGGUAAAAAUUUCAUCAAUGGUGACUUUGGAGAAUGUCAUGUUGCAGGUGAAUGUCCUAACCAGGACAAUAUUCAUGCAUUUGAAAAAUCCAGCGUGAGAAACAUAGAAAGGAAGAAGACCAUCACCAGAGAUGAAUGGACAUUUGAUAUUACCAAGAAUAUGCAUAAUGACUUGGAAGUUACCAUUUGAACAAUUGACAUUCUUGAGCAUCUUAGGUUGGAUUUCCUAGGAACAGAACCUGUGACAGGAAUUCAGGUGGAGCUGUUUUAGGCUGGGUGCUGUGGCCCAGGCCUGGAAUCCCAGCACUUCAGAAGGCCAAGGCAGGAGAAUCGCUUGAGCCCAGGAGUUCAAGAGCAGCCUGGGCAACAUGUUGAAACAUCAUCUCUAUACAAAUAUACGCACAAAAAUUAGCUGGACAUGGUGGUGUGCACCUGUAGUCCUAACUACUCAGGAAGCUGUGGUGGAAGAAUCACUUGAGCCCAGGAGGUCGAGCCUGCAAUAAGCUGUGAUUGCACCACUGCACUCCAGCGUGGAUGACAGAGCAAGACACCCUGUCUCAAAAAAAAGACUAUACAACAGAGCUCUGAAAAAGAUCACACUUUCAGAACGGGGCCAUAGCAGGCAUAAAAGCAACAAUUUAUCAAACUGCCUGAGGGAAUGAUGUAAAAAAUGCUCAUCAAGAAUAUCCAUCUGGACAGGACAAAAAAUGACGCUGAGAGGACUUUGGAGAGUUUCUACCCAGUUUUCCUAAAUUCCAGGAAGUUUUCUUAGUAGAAAUGAUGAUGACUGAAAGCUACUUCAUUUCUGGGAUACUUGAGACUUCUGGUCUGCAUAUGUGACUGUAGGAAGAAAUAAAUAAUUUAUGUUUUGGAAAAACCCUAAUUACCUAAAGAUGACUCUCAUGGAGUAAAAGGGAAAUGGGCAUUUGUCUUGUUUUCCCAAACUCUUUCAGUACUCAGUGAAUAAAAAUUAAGGUAACAACAUGAAUUCAGAAGGGCUUCUUAUUUGAGCUCUCUUACCUGUGCAGACUUAUAUUAUUGUGUGUGUGACAGGCAUUUUCCUUAUUUUAUUUUAUACAAUGUGUGUGAAUAAAUUUUUAUACAACUUCUUUUAUUAAAGGCAGAGAAUGCUUCAGCUUACCUUUGUAUUAUCUACAUUUUGGAAACAGAAUGAAUAUUCAAAUGUUGAAUUAGCUCGAAU
rnacentral:lncRNA from 1 species